ncrna:Brachypodium distachyon miR444b stem-loop (bdi-MIR444b)
GGAAGACGCAAGUAUGACAGCGAAACAUGCAUUACUUGCGGGAAAGGCGCAAAACGAAUAGAAGAUCAUCAUACUUGUGGCUUUCUUGCAAGUUGUGCAGUUGCUGCCUCAAGCUUGCUGCCUCC